rnacentral:lncRNA from 1 species
GAUGAGAUCCUUAGGUUGUCACUAGUGCGUAGGAUUUCGCGGAUCUCAAUUCGGACGUCGUUUGACUAUCGAACGGAUAUUCGCAUAUUGCGCGUUAUCCGGGUUCAAUAGGUUGGGACCGUCGGAUGGUCCCAAAUUUAAUAUAUGUUAAUCUCGGUAUUUAUAGGAUCGUGUAGGAAUUCACGGAUCGUGAAUCGGAG